UUUAAUUAAGCGGCCCUUGGUGAACGAAAUGAAAUUUGAAAUCCAAAUAAUUAAAGAUUUCUUUCAUUUAAAAUGAGUUGCUUUUCAUUAAAUUUUGACAUAAGCGUGUACGUGUAUUCAAAUGCAAUCAAUAAAAUAUAAUUCAAAUAAAAUCAAAUUUGAUUAUUGAACAGAUACGGAACACCAAAUAUUCAGACGGAACACCGGGUCAUUGUAUGAUAGUUUUCCUUUUAGAACACCGUACUUUUCAAUUUAAUUUUUACCCCUAGCUUAGUAGUAACUGUCCUGGAUGGUUAUGGUGUAAGUAAAUACCCUGUAUCGAUACUGUUUUGUCCUUGAUUUGCAGUUUCUAAGUAUAUAUAUUCCGAUUUGGCCAAUACUUCUUUCUGGUAUAUGAAGGAAACACAUCAUCCAUGCAUCAAAGGGUAUUAUUAAAAGUAUGGAAAGUAUUUGAUCCUAAUUAGUAAACGAUGGUUAUAUUACAGCUUUUUGAGAACAUCGCUCAUCAUGUAGUUUUUGAUGAAAUAGCAUGUGUUGUACGUAAAACUGUUAUGAAGUUCAUUGGACUACAUCCCAAUGACUUGCAGCAUGCUAUUAGUGUGAAGGCAUUUGGAAUGUACAUAGAGAAAGUAUGCCAUUAUUCCUUUAGGAUGCAUGUUAAAAAUACCAUCGAGAUCCACUGUUCGAUGGUCUUUCUCUAUGGCAAUGAUUGAAAUAAUCAUUACAUUCUUUCCCGUGUGAAUUCGAAAUAAUGUGUGGAAAACAGGUUCCUUAUCUUUAUAUGACCAUUUCACAACCGUUUCUUAUAUGUCAUUGAUAAAUCAUUUUCAAAAAUGAAGUAGUCGUUUCUCUUAUGGCAUUUUUACCAUCCAGCACUGUAACAUUAACGCCUCGUCAUGCGAUAAAACUACGCGAAAGUGUGACAUUAAUUAUUUUGUCACUCUGUCGUAUUGGCGAGGUACAUAUGUCUCGUAAGUAUGUUUUGUCGCAUGGCAUAUAGUAACUCUUCGCAUUGUGCAUUUUUGCACUGUCGCAUAUUCGAUAGUGUGACAUGCCCGAAACAGCCACUAUAAAUGUACAUUUCUUCAAUCUUGAUCUUCACUUUUUUCUUGGAAACAUUUAAUUACUUCGAAAAGCAUUGGUAUAUAUUCUUCUCUUUCAUAUUUAAAGUGAAUGCUGAAUUAAUUGCAAAAGAAAGUUUAGCAUACUCUGCCGCUUUAUUUGGUCAGUUUCAAUCAAAUAAAAACUAAUUUUAAGGACUCUGUCCUGACUGCUGUUUUUGUUAUUUAUGAAUCUAUGUAUUUAUAUAUUUAUUCAUCAUGCUACGUUGUAAUUACGUAUGAUUUUAUACAAUGAGUGAAAUAUAUUCAUUUCCGUGACAAGUAGCGUAUAUGCUGCCAGCACUGUAGUACAGUUAACAGCUGUUCGGGUAUGACCCCGAUAGCUUCGAGUGUUGCCGUAUGCCCUUAACCUAAAAUAAAUCAUAUAUCUGAAUUAUAUUUUUUCAUGCUAAAAUUUGUUUUAAUGUUUUAUUUCUAUUUUUUAACAUGACUUUAUAUGAAAACUAAUUCUAAGUGUUGAUUACAAAUUUCAGAUUGACAUAAAAGGUUGUUCCCAUGCUAAUUGUUUGGAGAAUGAAGUUUGCGUCAAUAGGGCAAAUGGAGGUCAUAUCUGUCGUUUACAGGAUGUUUGCCCGACGGCGGAUUGGGUGCCAUUCAACCACAAGUGUUACUUGUUUGGGAACGGGAAAAUGACUGCAAAUGCAAACGUGCAGCUCUGUCAAACAAUGGCCGCUGAAAUGGUACGGUAUGAAGAAGACGAAGUGUUUGAUUUUCUCCGGUUGCAAAUGAACAACAGGGGAAUAACAGCACUCUUCAUUGCUGCGAACGAGAGGGCUGUGAGAAAUGUAUGGGUUUGGGGUCCAGGAGACAUGGUAAUGAAUACUAGGUGGGUACCUGGUGAGCCUGAUAACGGUUAUGAGAAUUGCGUCAUUAUGGUGACUUCAGGAUGGGGUGAUAUUCGUUGUGAAACACAUCCUGCAUAUCCCGUGUGCGAAAUUCCUUUUACGUCUUAGUUACAAACCGUCAUUGCAUUGAUACGAUUGUCUUAAGGCAUCUGCAUUGUCAUCAUUUCUGAGUGUUUUAGGGUGUAAAUGCCCUUGCAAUAGUGUCUUAUGAAAACUGGUGUCUAAGUGAACAUAGAACUUUUGGGAAAACCAAGUGAGAAGAACAGCAAAGAAAUGAAAAGAAAAAUUCUCUCAAAUGAAAUGAUACACUAGAAACGUAUUUUCUUCCUUACGCCUAAAAAGGGCAGCGAUGCUUUAUGUUUUGCAAGCAAUUUUUGAUAACAUGUUUGCACUUUCGCAGUUUAUUAUUAUGCAAACUCUGUUACCUUCAUAUGCUAUGAUAUGUGAUUAUCUCAUUUAACUUGUAUCAUGAUUUUGUUUUCAAUAUGCAAAAAAAG